rnacentral:rRNA from 1 species
GACGAACGCUGGCGGCGUGCCUAACACAUGCAAGUCGAACGAAGCAUUUAAGUGAAUCCCUUCGGGGUGAAGCUUUUAUGACUUAGUGGCGGACGGGUGAGUAACGCGUAAGUAACCUGCCUUUCGGAGGGGGAUAACAGUUGGAAACGACUGCUAAUACCGCAUAACGUAUUUGAAUCGCAUGAUUCGGAUACCAAAGCUGAGGCGCUGAAAGAUGGACUCGCGUCUGAUUAGAUAGUGGGGGGGGUAACAGCCUACCAAGUCGACGAUCAGUAGCCGGACUGAGAGGUUGAGCGGCCACAUUGGGACUGAGACACGGCCCAGACUCCUACGGGAGGCAGCAGUGGGGAAUAUUGCACAAUGGGCGAAAGCCUGAUGCAGCAACGCCGCGUGAGGGAAGACGGUCUUCGGAUUGUAAACCUCUGUCUUUGGUGAAGAAGAAAGUGACGGUAACCAAGGAGGAAGCCACGGCUAACUACGUGCCAGCCGCCGCCGUAAUAC